UGGCCUGGUGGUCUAGUGGUUAGAACUGCUGAGGGGUAAGCAGUUGCAAACCACCAGGUGCUCCUUAG
rnacentral:miRNA from 1 species